rnacentral:misc_RNA from 1 species
GGCUCUUAUAAACUCCAAAUUGACAACCAUGGCCUUCUCCCUUGCAAGAAUGCUGGAGGAGUGAGAGAAAAUGGGGCCAAGAAUCCUCAAGUCCCGAGUAGGAAUACCAGCACGCUUGAUUAUAGAGUUCUUAUCCCACUCAUUCAACUCUGAUUGACCCCAUCUAUCGAAUCUCAUCCAAAGCCUCGCCCCACCAACCUUCUUCUUAGACGCUUUAACGGUCCCCACCGGUAACGAAAUUGAAUUCUGGGGUUCCCCAUUGUCCACUGGCGGUGUCGGCAACGGCGGCAUCCCUUUCUUCCUACGGCGAAUAGAGAAUUGAUUCUUCCCCAUCUUACCCAGUUCAAUAAUAAACCCCUUAAAAGCUCUCGCUCUCCCCCUUUUAGAUUCUUGAUUCUUCCGUAGCUACACAAAACAAAAGAUAUAGAUAAUGAUAAACAAUUAUGGGGUUGGGCGAUUUAGGCCAUGUCCAAUUGAUUCUUAUUCUUAACGAAUGAAGGGAACAGAUUCUUCUUCCACUGAUUCGCCUUCUUCGUCUUCUUCAAGAUCUUCCAUAUACUGAAAGCCCUUUUUUGGGGGAAAAAACGAAAAGGGAGAGUGAGAAUUUCAGGCGUGAAGCUUCUUGUUAUUGAGGGUUACACAAGAACCCAA